AUUUGUGUGCUCUCAGUCACGUCUCUCGAAGCUGCUGCGCCUGCGUGAGUCUUCAGAAGCUCAAGGGCGCGGGCGGGAAGGAGCCGCGCUGGCUGCGGCCGGAAAUGAGCUGGUUGGUGAUGCGCCGUCCAGACGUGCGAGUGCAGUGGUAGCUUGCGUUACCUGCUAACAGUCUGAAUCUGCCCCAUCCUGUGCUCAUCUCUGUGGCUGUGUGCUGCCUGACGUGAAUGUCACUCACACCAUCUCCCUCCUCCUGCUUCUUGAAAUCAAUGCAGAGCUAUAUAUUGUAUAUAUACUGUGGAGGACGGUCGGCGGCUCAUCCCGGGUGGGAUGCCCCUGUGAUGGAAGGAUGAGGGAAGACUGUUUUCCUGGUAACUGCCUCCCCCAAAACACUAGAUGGCAGCUUCCCUGAGCAUCCUGGAUCUUGGAGUUCGGCAAUACAGCUCUGUUGGAUGCCAUGGGUGCCACCAGGAGGUGCUAUAGGGAGACAGGGGAAUCCCUAUUAUUUAUAUAGCCCGGAAGACAUGGGGAUGGUGGCACAAGCGUACUUCUGGGCUGAAGGAAAAUAUAUUUCUCCAUCUGACCCGGAAGUGAUGACAAGUCAAAUGGACAGAAGGAAAGAAGCACUUCCGGGUCGAGGACUGUAUAAAGGACUGAUGGAGACCCAGCAGGCGAGCCGGAGUUGAGCAGGAGUGUGACGGAGCUUGCUGGGAGGUGGAGGAGAGUAUUGUGUUUAUUUAUCAUGGUGUUUAAUGUCGCCAGGGUGCUUUGGAGGCACUAUAUCAGAAGAAGGAAGAAAUGAACUUGUGUCCAGUGUGGUUGUCUGUUGGGGAAAAGGUGGGCAAUAAUGCCACCAUGCGGCCUCUCAGUUACAAUACUCAAGAGCCUCCUAUUGGUCCACUUAAAAUACUCACAAGUUCAGCAUAAAAGAGUCAAGAGUGGACUCCCCUAAAUAGAAGUGGAGAAGAUAAAAAAUAAUCACUGUGAUUGUAUCAAAGAGGAUAAAAGAAUAUUAUGUGACGAAGAAGCCUGUAAAAGGGGUCACCACAGUGGAUCAUCUUCUUCCAUAUCUUUCUGUU